UACGGAGGAUGCAAGCGUUAUCCGGAUUUAUCGGGUUUAAAGGGUGCGCAGGUUGUUUGAUAAGUCAGUGGUGAAAGUCUGUCGCUUAACGGUAGGAUUGCCAUUGAUACUGUUAGACUUGAAUAUGGAUGAGGUAGGCGGAAUGUGUAGUGUAGCGGUGAAAUGCAUAGAUAUUACACAGAACACCGAUUGCGAAGGCAGCUUACUAAUCCAUCAUUGACGCUGAGGCACGAAAGCGUGGGGAUCAAACAGGGUUAGA
rnacentral:rRNA from 1 species